rnacentral:rRNA from 1 species
UACGAAGGGGGCUAGCGUUGCUCGGAAUCACUGGGCGUAAAGGGUGCGUAGGCGGCUUGCUAAGUCAGGGGUGAAAUCCUGGAGCUCAACUCCAGAACUGCCUUCGAUACUGGCGAUCUCGAGUUCGGGAGAGGUGAGUGGAACUGCGAGUGUAGAGGUGAAAUUCGUAGAUAUUCGCAAGAACACCAGUGGCGAAGGCGGCUCACUGGCCCGAUACUGACGCUGAGGUGCGAAAGCGUGGGGAGCAAACAGG